CACAAGUCUUAAAGUGGCCAAGGUUGGAGACCCCUGCUCUACUGCCCCCCCAUUCACUUUCUCUCUCCAUCCCCACCUUGCUUUCAGAAAAGAAGGAUGUUCUGUGCAUACCUGGUGAACCCAGAUCAGAUCCAGAACUAGAUCCAAUCCUAAGGCUGAUUCAGAUGAACCCAAGGAACACACUUUGGUGCCCGGAGGAGGGAGACUGCAUUCCUUGCGUGCAAGUGAUGUUAACUCUUGGAUUACUGGAGCCACCUGCAUUGGGUGCCAAACAAGAUGGAGGAGCCAACAAGAUCAGAGAGCAGCCCAAGGGACACCCUAAGAGGGUCCCUGCAAUACAACUGCUUCCCAGUAGCUCUCAGUGGGGAAUUGCAUCUCAGAGUCUUUAUGUGGCCUCACUAUCAUUCUACAGGUGUGUUACAAGUCAUGCACCAUGGACCAGGUGAGUUCUCCGGAAAUAAGAAGUGAAGCAAUAAAUCCAUUUGAUAAAAUCA
rnacentral:lncRNA from 1 species